UACGAAGGGGGCUAGCGUUGUUCGGAAUUACUGGGCGUAAAGCGCACGUAGGCGGAUAUUUAAGUCAGGGGUGAAAUCCCAGAGCUCAACUCUGGAACUGCCUUUGAUACUGGGUAUCUUGAGUAUGGAAGAGGUAAGUGGAAUUGCGAGUGUAGAGGUGAAAUUCGUAGAUAUUCGCAGGAACACCAGGUGGCGAAGGCGGCUUUACUGGUCCAUACUGACGCUGAGGUGCGAAAGCGUGGGGAGCCAAACAGG
rnacentral:rRNA from 1 species